rnacentral:misc_RNA from 1 species
GUAGGUGAACCUGCGGAAGGAUCAUUACCAAUUAAUCCAUUACAAUACCAACCCAUGUGCACGAUGAAUGUUUGUCUUUUGGGGUGGCGAGUACUUUUGUAAAGAGAGUACAAAGUUUACCCCGCCAUUGUUAACUAAAAUCCUUUUUUGUCUACUUUUGGCAUCUGUCUUGCUUUAAUAAAUAUAUGCAAUGACAACUUUUAACGGUGGAUCUCUUGGCUCGU